GCCUGGGGAGUACGGCCGCAAGGUUAAAACUCAAAUGAAUUGACGGGGGCCCGCACAAGCGGUGGAGCAUGUGGUUUAAUUCGAUGCAACGCGAAGAACCUUACCUGGUCUUGACAUCCACAGAACUUUUCAGAGAUGGAAAGGUGCCUUCGGGAACUGUGAGACAGGUGCUGCAUGGCUGUCGUCAGCUCGUGUUGUGAAAUGUUGGGUUAAGUCCCGCAACGAGCGCAACCCUUAUCCUUUGUUGCCAGCGGUCCGGCCGGGAACUCAAAGGAGACUGCCAGUGAUAAACUGGAGGAAGGUGGGGAUGACGUCAAGUCAUCAUGGCCCUUACGACCAGGGCUACACACGUGCUACAAUGGCGCAUACAAAGAGAAGCGACCUCGCGAGAGCAAGCGGACCUCAUAAAGUGCGUCGUAGUCCGGAUUGGAGUCUGCAAC
rnacentral:rRNA from 1 species